rnacentral:misc_RNA from 1 species
UCUCCAUUGGUGAACCAGCGGAGGGAUCAUUACCGAGUUUACAACUCCCAAACCCAAUGUGAACCAUACCAAACUGUUGCCUCGGCGGGGUCACGCCCCGGGUGCGUCGCAGCCCCGGAACCAGGCGCCCGCCGGAGGGACCAACCAAACUCUUUCUGUAGUCCCCUCGCGGACGUUAUUUUUACAGCUCUGAGCAAAAAUUCAAAAUGAAUCAAAACUUUCAACAACGGAUCUCUUGGUUCUG